rnacentral:misc_RNA from 1 species
GGCUACAAUAUGAAGGACGGGCUGGACCUCUUGGGGUACAGCCUUGCUGAAUUAUUCACCCUUGUCUUUUGCGUACUUCUUGUUUCCUUGGUGGGUUCGCCCACCACUAGGACAAACAUAAACCUUUUGUAAUUGCAAUCAGCGUCAGUAACAAAUUAAUAAUUACAACUUUCAACAACGGAUCUCUUGGUUCUGGCAUCGAUGAAGAACGCAGCGAAAUGCGAUAAGUAGUGUGAAUUGCAGAAUUCAGUGAAUCAUCGAAUCUUUGAACGCACAUUGCGCCCUUUGGUAUUCCAAAGGGCAUGCCUGUUCGAGCGUCAUUUGUACCCUCAAGCUUUGCUUGGUGUUGGGCGUCUUGUCUCUAGCUUUGCUGGAGACUCGCCUUAAAGUAAUUGGCAGCCGGCCUACUGGUUUCGGAGCGCAGCACAAGUCGCACUCUCUAUCAGCAAAGGUCUAGCAUCCAUUAAGCCUUUUUUUUCAACUUUUGACCUCGGAUCAGGUAGGGAUACCCGCUGAACUUAAGCAUAUCAAUAAGCCGGAGGAAACUUUUCGUUUUU